GUGACACACACAGAAGAAAAUACAAGUGGAUCUGCAAAUUUCAAACCCAAUUUAUUCAAGGGUUAACUGUACCAGGAUGAAUAUAGGAGUCUCUAUCUGUAUUCUAGGGCUUUCUCUUUGCUGUACCUCUGCUCACUUCCAAUGGCAAUAUACAUGUCUUAUGUUCUUUACAGUCUUGGGCAGAGAACUCUGCCUGCAUGCAUUGCUGACCAAAUGACCUGGAAUGUGUAUCUCUUAGGAAAGUGCUAUGGUUUCACUGUGUCCUCCAGAAUCCAUCUGUUGUAAAGUUAAUUCUCAGUGUAAUGGUAUUGCCAAUUGGGGCCUAUUGGGAUGUGUUUAGAUCAUGAGUGUGGUGCCCUCUAGUGGAAUACAUUAAUGCCAGUAUAAACAGCAAUUGUGGGGCUGGGAUCUCUCUCUCUUCUGCUUGUCUGUCAUGUUAAGACAUGGCCUUCCUUCCUUUGAAGGACCCCAAACUCCAGGCAUCAUCUUGAAAGCAAAGAAAGCAGACCUUAACCUGCCCAUGCCUUGAACUUAAAUUUCCCAUUCUCCAGAAGUGUAAGAAAAUAAAUUUGUGUUCUUUAUGAAUUACUCAGUGAAAAGGAAUCUGUUACAGCAGCUUGAAAUAGAACAAGAGAGACAGCUCACAAUCAGUGAGGACAGGAUGAGGUGUAUACAUACUUCAGCUUCCUCAUCUCUCAGGUGGAACAGCCCGGAGGAAUUUAGUCCAUGUUUCCACAGGUGGUUGAUCUUCAGUUCUCCUGAGUCAGGACCCCACUGGAAAUUGGACUGUCCAACUCUCCUGGCAGCCACUCCCAGAGCCACUGGAACUCUGGCCCAAGGCUCUCUGACUGACUCCUUCCCAGAUCUUCUCAGCUUAGCUGCUGAAGACUGAUGCUGCCCAAUCGCCUUGGAAGCCUCCUGGACCAUCACAGACACUUUGGGUAACUCUUACAGUGGAGAGUAAGUCCAUCCCCUUCUUAAUCAAUGUGGAGUCUACCCACUCCACAUUACCUUCUUUUCAACGACCUGUUUCCCUUGCCGCCAUAACUGUUGUGGGUAUUGACGGCCAGGCUUCUAAAUCUCUUAAAACUCCCCAACUCUGUUGCGAACUUGGACAACAUUCUUUUAUGCACUCCUUUUUAGUUAUCCUUACCUGCCCAGUUUCCUUAUUAGGUCGAGACGUUUUAACAAAACUAUCCACUUCCCUGACUAUUCCUGGGCUACAGCCACACCUCAUUGCCACCCUUUUCCUCACUUCAAAGCCUCCUUUGCAUCCUCCCCUGUGUCUCCCUGCCUUAAUCCACAAGUAUGGGAUACCUCUACUCCUUCCUUGGCAACUGAUCAUGCACCCCUUACCAUCCCGUUAAAACCUAAUCACUGUUACCACUAGAGCCUGUUAUCACCCACCUGUUACAACAUGGCCUCUUAAAGCCUACAAAUUCUCCUUACUGAGGGAAGAGAGAGACCCUCUCAUAUUGUUUUAUAUUGUUUUAUACUCAGUACCUGUUUUAAGAGUAAAAAUCAAGGAAGUGAAAUCAGAGACAGGCAGCCCGGCGCCAGGCCUGGGCCUGCCUGGCCUAAACCUAGUAGUUAAAAAUCAUCUCAUGACUUAGCAACCAAUGUUAUCCAUAGAUUCCAAGCAUUGUAUGAAGAACAUUGUGAAACUCCCUGUUCUGUUCUGUUUGACUCUGACUACCAGUGCAUGAAGACCCUGUUACAUAACCCCUAGAUUGCUCAAUCAAUCACGACCCUUUCAUGUAAAAUCUUUAGUGUUGUGAGCCCUUAAAAUGGACAGAAAUUGUGCACUCAAGGAGCUCCGAUUUUAAGACAGUAGCUUGCCGAUGCUCCCAGCUGAAUAAAGCCCUUCCUUCUACAACUCGGUGUCUGAGAGGUUUUGUCCAUGGCUCAUCCUGCUACAUUACAACUCCCCUAUCCUAC
rnacentral:lncRNA from 10 species